GGCGCCUGACCUUCCGUUCAGCUCUGCUGUCUCUAGCGGCGAAGGGCGAGCGGGGUUCCCUUCCCUCGGCGUGCUGGAGCUGUCAUCUGAUGUUCGUCCCUGGAGCAAGAUCAGAGAGCUGCCCUGCCCUCGCUGCCUUCAGCUUCCCUCCUAAGCGCCCUUUGCGGGCAGCCGCGCGCAGUUCUGAACUCGGAUAAAGCUUCCUGUCUCAACAGUCUAAGGACCCUUAAGAGUGAACUUGGAUGAUGCAUUCAAGGAUGGUGAUCUGCUCAACUCUACUCAACUCUGAUUGGUCAGGGAAAUUUGCCGCAGACAUGUCUUUCCCUGUCCAAUCACUGGGCACUGGGCCUCCAUGGCAUUAUUUUGACUUUAGCUGCAGUAGAAUGGCCAUGUGGAAAUGUCAGACUCUCAGAAGAAUGGUAGACUUGUCCAUCUGGAAUCCUACUUGAAAGAAGAAAUGGCAGACUGAAAUGGCUCCAUAAAAAAAAGGAGCCCAUGACUGUGGCAAAGAACAAAAAGCUGGUGAGUAGGCCAUCUCUUCAAACUUUUCUGGACAAGGAAAGGACUUAAGAUUGCCCACAAGUGUUCCAGAUGGUUGCUCCUCAUGAGGAGACCAAAAAAAAUAGAAGUCUCCAGAGGAUUUAAUGCUCAGGGAGACAAGGGAAUAGCUAUGUCAGGCCUGGAAGCCAUCCAUCUUUUUCGUUGGAUCUUCAGGCUUGCCACAUUGACUACUGUGGGAAACUGGGUGGGGGCAUUGUAUGGAGCCAGGGUGAUAUAUAGUCAUAAUAACAUUCCUUUUUCAGAAAGUCAAAGACAUCUUGCCCUGCACCUGGAUGACUGGAACUGGGAGGCAUCUCCAGUUGGGACGGUGCUUUAUGAUGUGCCAAUAUGACAUCUCUAAUAAAAUGGAACUUUGAGGAAACUCAAGCUCCAGAGUUUUCUUUCAUUGAGGGUGUUGCUUGGAACCCUGACAAGCUAUCUUGUUCAAACUGCACUUGGCACUUUUGAAAGAACCCAUACUUCCUUUUCUAAACAUUUUUGGAAAUCGCUUGUUAACUGCUUUUCAGCUAUUGGAAACUUUUGUAUUGACAAGUUUGACAGCAUCAGAUAAGAGAUGAAGUAUGAGAAGAUAUCAUUUUGUACAUUUUACAAGGAGGGGAUAAAUUACUUUGAAGUUUGGAAGUCACUUCUUUAGAUAUAUAUUUUUUAUUAUAUUCUUGCUUUUUUAUUCCUCUUCUCCAUUUCUCUUAUUUUUUUCUCUUUUUGCUGCACCUUCUAUUCUUUCUAUUCUUUUAUAUAUUUUUAGAUUGUAUUAGUUUUUACUAGUGUAAUUAUGAUCUUUAAUAAAAAAAAACAACUAUUAAAAAGAAACAGAAUUCUAAUUGCACCUUCUAGUAUUUUGCACCCAUUUCUUA